rnacentral:rRNA from 1 species
AGUGAACGCUGGCGGUAGGCCUAACACAUGCAAGUCGAACGGCAGCACAGUAAGAGCUUGCUCUUACGGGUGGCGAGUGGCGGACGGGUGAGGAAUACAUCGGAAUCUACUUUUUCGUGGGGGAUUACGUAGGGAAACUUACGCUAAUACCGCAUACGACCUACGGGUGAAAGCAGGGGAUCUUCGGACCUUGCGCGAUUGAAUGAGCCGAUGUCGGAUUAGCUAGUUGGCGGGGUAAAGGCCCACCAAGGCGACGAUCCGUAGCUGGUCUGAGAGGAUGAUCAGCAACACUGGAACUGAGACACGGUCCAGACUCCUACGGGAGGCAGCAGUGGGGAAUAUUGGACAAUGGGCGCAAGCCUGAUCCAGCCAUACCGCGUGGGUGAAGAAGGCCUUCGGGUCGUAAAGCCCUUUUGUUGGGAAAGAAAAGCAGCAGGUUAAUACCCCGCUGUUCUGACGGUACCCAAAGAAUAAGCACCGGCUAACUUCGUG